rnacentral:rRNA from 1 species
CGCGUAGGCGGUUUGUUAAGUCGGAUGUGAAAUCCCCGGGCUCAACCUGGGAACUGCACCCGAUACUGGCCGACUAGAGUACGAGAGAGGGAGGUAGAAUUCCACGUGUAGCGGUGAAAUGCGUAGAUAUGUGGAGGAAUACCAGUGGCGAAGGCGGCCUCCUGGCUCGAUACUGACGCUGAGGCGCGAAAGCGUGGGGAGCAAACA